rnacentral:rRNA from 1 species
CUACGGGACGCUCCAGUGAGGAAUAUUGCACAAUGGGGGGAACCCUGAUGCAGCAACGCCGCGUGGAGGAUGACGCAUUUCGGUGUGUAAACUCCUUUUAUAUGUCAAGAAAAUGACGGUAGCAUAUGAAUAAGCACCGGCUAACUCCGUGCCAGCAGCCGCGGUAAUACGGAGGGUGCAAGCGUUACUCGGAAUCACUGGGCGUAAAGGACGCGUAGGCGGGUUGGAAAGUCAGGUGUGAAAUCCUACAGCUUAACUGUAGAACUGCACUUGAAACUUCUAAUCUAGAGUAUGGGAGGGGGAGAUGGAAUUAGUGGUGUAGGGGUAACCUCCGUAGAUAUCACUAGGAAUACCUAAAGCGAAGGCGAUCUCCUGGAACAUUACUGACGCUAAGGCGUGAAAGCGUGGGGAGCAAACAGGAUUAGAUACACGUGUAGUC